GCAGGGGUGGUCGAGUGGUCAAAGGCGCUAGGUUGAGGGCCUAGUGGGGGAGUCCCUUCGCGGGUUCGAAUCCCGUCCCCUGCA
rnacentral:tRNA from 4 species